rnacentral:pre_miRNA from 1 species
UCUUCAUUUUACGUGCUCUCUCACGAUCAUAGUGACGAGAGAGUGUGUGAAAUGAAGAGA